CGCCUAACACAUGCAAGUCGAACGAAGUAGCAAUACUUAGUGGCGAACGGGUGAGUAUAAUGUGGGUAUCUGCCUUUUGGUUUGGAAUAACACGGGGAAACUUGUGCUAAUACCGGAUAAGCCUUCACAGGGAAAGUUUUAACGCCAAAAGAUGAGCCCGCACUUGAUUAGCUAGUUGGUAGGGUAAAAGCCUACCAAGGCUACGAUCAAUAGCUGAUCUGAGAGGAUGAUCAGCCACAUUGGGACUGAGACACGGCCCAAACUCCUACGGGAGGCAGCAGUGGGGAAUCUUGCACAAUGGGGGAAACCCUGAUGCAGCGAUGCCGCGUGAGUGAAGAAGGCCUUUGGGUUGUAAAGCUCUUUCGUCGGGGAAGAAAAUGACUGUACCCGAAUAAGAAGGUCCGGCUAACUUCGUGCCAGCAGCCGCGGUAAUACGAAGGGACCUAGCGUAGUUCGGAAUUACUGGGCUUAAAGAGCUCGUAGGUGGUUAGAAAAGUUGGUGGUGAAAUCCCAAGGCUUAACCUUGGAACUGCCAUCAAAACUUUUUAACUAGAGUGUGAUAGAGGAAAGUGGAAUUUCUAGUGUAGAGGUGAAAUUCGUAGAUAUUAGAAAGAACACCAAUUGCGAAGGCAACUUUCUGGAUCACUACUGACACUGAGGAGCGAAAGCAUGGGUAGCGAAGAGGAUUAGAUACCCUCGUAGUCCAUGCUGUAAACGAUGUGUGUUAGACGUUGGAAAUUUAAUUUUCAGUGUCGCAGCAAAAGCGUUAAACACACCGCCUGGGGAGUACG
rnacentral:rRNA from 1 species